ensembl:lncRNA
CAGGCUCCCAGUGGGGAAGGGCAGGGACGGGGGAGGGCAAGACCGCUAGGAUCUCGAGUUUAUGUGGGCGCCUGUGGAGUGUGGAGAGCUGGCUUUUAGGCAGAAGCUGGUGACUGCAACUCCUGAAGAAAGAGCUGAGAGUUCAUUUGCGUUCCAUCCCGCAAGAAACUUUGCUUUCCAAGUACACGUAGGUUUAGGGACUGGAGGACACAACGUGCACACGCGAGCCGGCUCUCCCAGCAACGGACGGUGGGGAGAGGCGCCAUCACACUGGUGCCCUGACUCUCAUCCAGGGAAGAGGCAUGAGGUGCCUGACCCUUUCUUGUUACUCGCUGAGAGGCUUAUGUGGGGCGAGAGACUGGGUCAGAGCAGGCCAGCCGGAGACAACUGUUCUGCCUCUGACUUUCCAGACAUUCCCCAAAGCCCUGUAGCACCCGAUACCCGUGCCGGCAUAACCACACAUGCAAGGGAGGGUGAGCCUUCUUUCAUAACAGCUACAGCUUCUUGACGGAAUGGCCUUUCCACUGAACCAGUCAUACAGCCCAGCCCAAAGCCGCUGUCAAUUAGAAUAUUAAAAAUUCAGAAAGAAGUUGAAUAAACGGCACUGUUAUUUAAAGUGGCCCUUGGCCAGGCCCCCGGGGCCAACAGAGAUCCAGGGGCUACUGAAUGACCUCAACUGCUCUGGACUAGAAUGACGAGAAACUUCUGUGAGAAAAAAUAAUAACCAGCCCAACUCGAGUCCGGAGUGUGAACAAAGGCUAGGGUCGGAAGGAUACCUCAAACAGCGUGCCAAGGCUCAGACUGAUCUCUAGAGGAAGGCCCAGGACGCGCUGGAACUGCGGGUCAUGGGUGUUGUAUAAAGGCUGAGGGCUGACAUCGAGCUGAAGGCACAGUGACCAAGCUUCUGUGCACAGAUGUGAGAGAAAAGGGGGCGUCCAUCUAGGGGAGGGAUCAGACACUCCCCAGGGAAGGAUGGAUGACAAUUCUGAGCAGCUGUCUGCAAAGUUCAGGGCUGCUGGGCCGUUCCAGUGACUUUAGGGAAUUAAGAUGUUUGGGUAGGAGUUCCAGACAAAACUGAAUUUAGUCUAGCUUCCAGUUGCUCUGGCCAAAAACCUGGGCAUCAUUCUUGACCUCUCUCUCUCUCUGGCCCCCACCCCAUACCCAACCUAUCAGGAAAUCCUAUCGGUCCUACUUUCAAAAUUAUGCCCAGUUCUUACCACCUCUGCUACUAUCUAGCACUCUGGUCCUAGCCACACCAUGUAACACUUCAGUAACUGUAAUAACUUUCCCAGGGUUCUUGCUUCCACCUUUGCUCCCCUGCCAGAGAGCAGCCAGAGAGACACUUUUAAUCUGUAAGUCAGAAAGUGUCCCUCCUCAUCUGGAAACCCUCCCUAUCUUACUCAGAGGAAAAGCAGAGUCCUCCCACUGUCUUAUAAGAUCCUGUGCAGUCUGUUUCCGUGGUUCCUUAGCCCUCAUCUCCUGCCCUCAGCCUCACUCACUCACUCCAGCCACACUGGCCUCUUCAUCCUCCUUGAACUGACCAAGACCACCGCUGCCUCAGAGACCUCCUUAAAUGCACUUCCCUAAGUCUGGGAUGAUCUUUCCCCAGAUAUAGUCAUGACUCACCCCUCCACUCACUCAGAUCUUUUCACAAAUGUGAAAUUCUCAGAAAGCUCUACUCUGUCCAAAAUUACAAAGGAGUACAAAUCCCCUUUGAACUGCUCUAUUUUUUUUCAUGUCAUUUAACACUGUCUAACGUGAUAUACAGGCACAUAUACAUAUAUAGAAUUCAUUUGUUUUACAUAUAUUAUGCUUUCUAUUUGUCUUUCCUCACACUAAAAUGCGAAGUUUCAUAAGAGCAAGGAGUUUUAUGUAGUUUGUUAAUGGGUAAUAAUGUUAAUUCUUUGAGCGUCCUAGACCAUCUAUCUUAUAGAUGGCUCUCAAUACAAAUAGCUUAAAUAAGCAAGUGAAAUGAUUUACAGUCAAAGCC